rnacentral:rRNA from 1 species
UACGAAGGGUGCAAACGUUGCUCGGAAUCAUUGGGCGUAAAGCGCACGUAGGCGGCUUCGCAAGUCGGAUGUGAAAUCCCUCGGCUCAACCGAGGACGUGCAUCCGAAACUGCGGAGCUUGAGUACUGAAGAGGAUCGCGGAAUUCCCGGUGUAGAGGUGAAAUUUCGUAGAUAUCGGGAGGAACACCAGUGGCGAAGGCGGCGAUCUGGGCAGAUACUGACGCUGAGGUGCGAAAGCGUGGGGAGCAAACAGG